AUAGGAUCUAUAAGAUCCCUUAUCAAUAACCCCUGGUCUAAGAACAGAUUAGGAGUUGCCGUCCAGAGAGUAUCUCAUGCCCCAAGAUCGACCUGUUAAUAUUUUUUUUAAUAGUUUUCUAUUUAGUGGAUCGAUGUUCGGUUCACCGCUUAAUCCAAACUAAAAGCCAUCGCCGACGCCGACCGGGAGAGAAACAGCAGCGGCGAAUCGGAGAAACAUGACGCUAAAGCUUUACGUCGAUCGCAUGUCACAGCCAUCGCGGGCGAUUUUGAUAUUUUGCAAGGUCAACGCACUCCCAUUUGAAGAGGUUAGAAUUGAUAUCUCUAAGCGCCAACAUAGAUCGCCUGCAUUCAAGG